rnacentral:tRNA from 1 species
GAGGGUAUAGCUCAAGCAGUAGAGUGGCACACUUAGCAUGCAUGAGGUCCUGGGUUCAAUCCCCAGUACCUCCU